rnacentral:ncRNA from 2 species
ACCUAUGGUAGAGGUGCUGUAAUAAUGAGUAUUUAUAAGGAGUCGGCAGAUGAUGAUUUAUAAAAGAAAGGUAUUAUGGCCGAAGAGAUAAUUUUUUAUGUAGAAGGUUAUUUCUGGGGAUGUAUAAAAUAUGUACAUAACUGUCACUAAAUGUGGAGAGCUACAAGGUGA